rnacentral:rRNA from 1 species
UAGGGAAUAUUGCACAAUGGGCGAAAGCCUGAUGCAGCAACGCCGCGUGCGCGAUGAAGGCCUUCGGGUCGUAAAGCGCUUUUCGGGGAGAUGAGGAAGGACAGUAUCCCCGGAAUAAGUCUCGGCUAACUACGUGCCAGCAGCCGCGGUAACACGUAGGAGGCAAGCGUUAUCCGAAUUUACUGGGCGUAAAGCGCGUGCAGGCGGUUCGGUAAGUUGGAUGUGAAAUCUCCCGGCUCAACUGGGAGAGGUCGUUCAAUACUGUCGGACUAGAGGAUGGUAGAGGGAGGUGGAAUUCCCGGUGUAGUGGUGAAAUGCGUAGAUAUCAAGAGGAACACCGGUGGCGAAGGCGGCUCUCUGGACUGAUACUGACGCUGAGGCACGAAAGCUGGGGGAGCAAACAG